UACGUAGGGGGCAAGCGCUGUCCGGAUUUACUGGGCGUAAAGGGUGUGCAGGCGGGCUGGCGUGUCGAUGGUGAAAGCUCCCGGCUUAACCGGGAAAGUGCUGUCGAAACUACCAGUCUUGAGGGCGGAAGAGGAAACUGGAACUUCUGGUGUAGCGGUAAAAUGCGUAGAUAUCAGAAGGAACGCCGAUAGCGAAGGCAGGUUUCUGGGACGUUCCUGACGCUGAAACACGAAAGCUAGGGGAGCAAACAGG
rnacentral:rRNA from 1 species